ensembl:snoRNA SNORD15 Small nucleolar RNA SNORD15
CUUCGGUGAUGACAUGAUGACGAAUCUGAAGGGUCACGUCCUGCUCUUGGUCCCCCUCGGUGCCAUGUUCUGUGGUGCUGUGUGCGGGUUCCUUUGGCAAAAGUGGCUUGUUCAUUGAUCGAUUUAGAGGCAUUUGUCUGAGAAGG